rnacentral:ncRNA from 1 species
GAAAGUCAGGGGAAACUCUGAUGGAGGACCGUACGGGUUAUUGAUGUGCAAAUCAUUUUUCUGAUGUAGGUAAAGGUGCGAAAGACUCAUCGAACCACCUAAUAGCUGGUUUCCUCCGAAGUUUCCCUCAGGAUAGCUGUAAUGCAUUUAGUUAAGGGGAGUAGAGAUAUGGGUAGAGGUGCAGGGAGCCUUCGGGUUCUCAACUUAUUUCCAAACUUCGAACCUCCUUGUUAGGCAUUUACCUAACUGGAAAUGCUUAAAUGAAUUAGCGUUACAAGUGGGCUCUGACCGGUAAGCGGUCAUGGCGAAAUGGGAUGAACCAUACGUCUGAAUAAGGUGCCGAAAUGUACUAUCACUGAUACCAUAAAGGGAGUCCAUGUAUUUAGACAGCAGGUCGGUGCCCCUAAAAGCAGGUAUCCGCUAAAGAGUGUGUUAAAACUCACCUGCCGAAUACUAGGGCCCCGAAAAUGAAUGGCGCAUAUAGUACUACCGAUCUCAGACAUCAGUUCUAUUGAACUGAGAGUAGGGGGAUGUGGACAUUUUUGUGAAGGUGCAAUGUGAGUUGGACUGGAAGAAUGUCUAUUACAGAUCCUAAUUGAAGUAGCGAUUAUCCAGGCUUGUAUCCUGGGGGCUGAUGAGGAGUAGGGUUUCUGGACAACUUAAACAGAUCCAGAGUUAGUCGAUCCUAAUCUCAAUAAUGGGAGAAAGGGAGUACAGUUGAUAUUCUGUAACUGACAACAGUUCGCGGCAACGCAUACUAUUUUUCUCCGCCAAUCUUAUACCGUUGGUAGGGAUCUCUUUCCUACAUGACAGUACUAAUACCCAGGGAAACUGGUCAUCAGGCGAACUGCGGCGUUCUGCUGGCAAAACAUAGCUUCGGUUAUGUCAAUGGCUAUUGGAUUGGUCCAUGAAGCGAAAAAUAGUUUACUGUGUCACUCGUACCGAUAACCGCAUCAGGUCUUCUAGGUAAGUAGCCUAU